UACGUAGGGUCCAAGCGUUAUCCGGAAUCACUGGGCGUAAAGCGUGCGUAGGUGGCGCGUUAAGUGUGAUGUUAAAUCGUGGGGCUCAACCCUGUCGGUGCAUCACAUACUGGCGUGCUAGAGGACAGCAGAGGCAAGUGGAAUUAGCAGUGUAGCAGUGAAAUGCGUAGAUAUUGCUAGGAACACCAAUGGCGAAGGCAGCUUGCUGGGCUACUCCUGACACUGAUGUACGAAAGCGUGGGGAGCGAACAGG
rnacentral:rRNA from 1 species